CGGCGUGCNUAACACAUGCAAGUCGAACGAUGAACCACUUCGGUGGGGAUUAGUGGCGAACGGGUGAGUAACACGUGGGCAAUCUGCCCUUCACUCUGGGACAAGCCCUGGAAACGGGGUCUAAUACCGGAUACAACACUCUCGGGCAUCCGAUGAGUGUGGAAAGCUCCGGCGGUGAAGGAUGAGCCCGCGGCCUAUCAGCUUGUUGGUGAGGUAACGGCUCACCAAGGCGACGACGGGUAGCCGGCCUGAGAGGGCGACCGGCCACACUGGGACUGAGACACGGCCCAGACUCCUACGGGAGGCAGCAGUGGGGAAUAUUGCACAAUGGGCGAAAGCCUGAUGCAGCGACGCCGCGUGAGGGAUGACGGCUUCGGNUU
rnacentral:rRNA from 1 species